AUUCUUUCGGUGUUUAUGUGUUUCUUUUGUAGGGUGAGAGCGAUGAUGAAGGAAAAGGUCAGAGAUGUAGUAGAGUUUUUUUUUUUUUAUAUCACAAGGGUAGGGUGCAUCAUGAUUUACUUCGUUUUAGUGUGAGGAAAUAGUCGCAGAUUGAUGGUAGUGACAAUCAGAACCAGAGAAAGAGGAUUUUAGAAUUUACAGAGUGAGAGAUCACUAGCUUCAGUUUGGGGUCAUUUUUGGUGUUUUUGUUUUGAAAUAUGUACACGUUUUGAUUUUCUAGGAGAAAUAAGAAAAAUUCAUGAGCCUAGGAUGAUUGUAAGUGUGGAGGCUGUAGAAGUGUUGCUGCGUGCGUGGUGUGUGAGUGAUCAUGACGAGGUGAUCGAAAUUAGUCCAAGGACAUAUCAUGGCAUCAGAGGCAGCAAUCGUAAGAGCACAGGGCAGAGUUAUAUGUAGCCGGUGUGUUGCAACAGAUUCAGGACGUCAACUUCGAAUCAAAGAAUUAGAGGAUGCAGUUAGUUGUAAAAAUCAGAAAGGUAAUACUGCGGUUGCUAGUUCGACCUUAAUGGGUAAAUUUCUGGGCAAAAAUCCUCUCGGGACUUCAAUGUCGACUAAUCAUGUUUAACCUGGCAAUGUACAAGAGGAAAUGGGGGAUUAACAAAAGAGUGAAGAUGGAGUGUUGAAGAUAUCAUGAGUUGAUUGGGUUGCAGCAUGAAUGCAAGUAAUUGUUGCUGAAGAAGGAGCUGAAGCACCUGAAGAGUGUGAUCAAAUAAGGGUAUAACUUCAUAAGGAUCUCUGUGGUGCUCAAUUUAGGCAGGAUAUACCGUCGGGGUUGAUGCGAUUGUUGGUGAAAGGUGUCGGUUUGUCUCAAUUUAAUCUGUUGGAUUAGUGAAUUUCAAAGUGGUUUUUUUAUGAAAAGGGACAACUGUAGGUAGGUGAAGCAGAUGUGAAGUUGAAGGGA
rnacentral:lncRNA from 1 species